AAUGAACGCUGGCGGCGCGCCUAAUACAUGCAAGUCGAGCGAGAAGACGUAGCAAUACGUUUGUAAAGCGGCGAACGGGUGAGGAAUACAUGGGUAACCUACCCUCGAGUGGGGAAUAACUAGCCGAAAGGUUAGCUAAUACCGCGUACGCUCCUUGGACUUCGGUUCAGGGAGGAAAGCGAUACCGUGGGUAUCGCGCUCUUGGUUGGGCUCAUGUCCUAUCAGCUUGUUGGUGAGGUAACGGCUCACCAAGGCUUCGACGGGUAGCUGGUCUGAGAGGACGAUCAGCCACACUGGCACUGCGACACGGGCCAGACUCCUACGGGAGGCAGCAGUAAGGAAUAUUGCGCAAUGGGCGAAAGCCUGACGCAGCGACGCCGCGUGGGGGAUGAAGGUCUUCGGAUUGUAAACCCCUUUCGGGAGGGAAGAUGGAACGAGCAAUCGUUCGGACGGUACCUCCAGAAGCAGCCACGGCUAACUUCGUGGCAGCCGCCGCGGU
rnacentral:rRNA from 1 species